CGAAUAUUUUUGAAUCAACAUUUACUCAUCAAAUGCUCUAGUCUGAAUCUUAUUUUAAAUGAAUUUAAUGAUAUGUUUAAUGAGCAAUAUUAAUUGCACACAGAGUAAGUAGAGAUUAUCUUGUUUUACAGAAGAGAAGAUCAAGGAAAUUAUUUGUUCAGGAUGAGGAAUGAAGACGGCCAUCUUGUGCCCAAACGAAGACAGAAAGCUGUCCACUGAUGAUCUCAUCAGCCAAAUGAGGGGUUUUGACCAAGUGAUGGUCUUGAAAGGAAUGAAAGAAGAGGAUGUGGUAAAUUGUCUUCAAAGAAAAAGCUUCUCAAAAGGUCUUAAAACAGCUUGAAGAAUGGUAUGUGUCCAGUACUUCAAGGGUCAUAGUUGUUCACACUGCUAAAAUCACACAGAACAUUAAACUGUCUGACUGUCCAUUAAACAACUUCAUCUGAAUUGUUUGUGUUUUUUGUUUUACUUUGACCAGGUCUGGGAACUGUCUGAAAAUGGGAUGUUAGGACUGAGAGAUCCUCUGGCUGAGAAAAAGCUACACCAGAUCAGUGCUGGAUAUCAACCACAAACUGUUUCCAGACACGAGAGAAGAAGAUCAUGAUGGGGAAAUGAAACCAGUUUAGAUGUGAUGAUAAGGAAUCAUUAUUUUCUGAAACAGUAUCACAUGUCUUAUAUGUAUCACAUGAUCUGUAUCACAGUUGCCUGGAUGGGAUUGUGUGACUUUUAAGGACAUUUCAUUACUCAUCUGUGUGAACUGAUUAAUUUAUGAUAUUAAUGAAUUUUUGAUGAUCCAUUAUUAUUUUCCUUGAAUCUUAUUUGUCUUGAUGCUACUUUAUCAACUUUAUAGUCUAUGCUUCAAUAAAAUUAAUAUGAUGAAUAUUGUGUAUUGAAAAUUCUUGGUAAAUACAUAAUUUUACUAGGUGGUCUCAUAUGUGUUUAUUUUAUACUUGGAAAAACUACGUUAUUAAUUACCGGAAUUAUUUUUUACUUAAGACAUAAACAUUUUUGAUCAGAUUAAUGACAUCUGGAACAACAAUAC
ensembl:lncRNA